AGUGAACGCUGGCGGUAGGCCUAACACAUGCAAGUCGAACGGCAGCACAGUAAGAGCUUGCUCUUACGGGUGGCGAGUGGCGGACGGGUGAGGAAUACAUCGGAAUCUAAUUUUUCGUGGGGGAUAACGUAGGGAAACUUACGCUAAUACCGCAUACGACCUACGGGUGAAAGCAGGGGAUCUUCGGACCUUGCGCGAUUGAAUGAGCCGAUGUCGGAUUAGCUAGUUGGCGGGGUAAAGGCCCACCAAGGCGACGAUCCGUAGCUGGUCUGAGAGGAUGAUCAGCCACACUGGAACUGAGACACGGUCCAGACUCCUACGGGAGGCAGCAGUGGGGAAUAUUGGACAAUGGGCGCAAGCCUGAUCCAGCCAUACCGCGUGGGUGAAGAAGGCCUUCGGGUUGUAAAGCCCUUUUGUUGGGAAAGAAAAGCAGCAGGUUAAUACCCCGCUGUUCUGACGGUACCCAAAGAAUAAGCACCGGCUAACUUCGUG
rnacentral:rRNA from 1 species